AGCAGCCGCGGUAAUUCCAGCUCCAAUAGCGUAUAUUAAAGUUGUUGCAGUUAAAAAGCUCGUAGUUGAAUUUCGGGAUCAAGGAAUCGGUCAUGCCUUGGUAUGUACUGGUUUUAUUGGUUCUCACCUUCUAAAGAACCAUAAUGUCAUUCAUUUGAUGUUAUGGGGAAUUAGGACUGUUACCUUGAAAAAAUUAGAGUGUUUAAAGCAGGCUUACGCUUGAAUACAUUAGCAUGGAAUAAUGAAAUAGGACGUUCGAUCCUAUUUUGUUGGUUUUUAGGAUCAACGUAAUGAUUAAUAGGGAUAGUUGGGGGCAUUAGUAUUCAAUUGUCAGAGGUGAAAUUCUUGGAUUUAUUGAAGACUAACUACUGCGAAAGCAUUUGCCAAGGAUGUUUUCAUUAAUCAAGAACGAAAGUUAGGGGAUCGAAGACGAUCAGAUACCGUCGUAGUCUUAACCAUAAACUAUGCCGACUAGGGAUCGGAUGAUGUUAAUUUUUAAUGACUCAUUACGGCGCCUUAC
rnacentral:rRNA from 1 species